rnacentral:rRNA from 1 species
GAUGAACGCUGGCGGCGUGCUUAACACAUGCAAGUCGAACGAUGAAGCCCCUGCUUGCAGGGGUGGAUUAGUGGCGAACGGGUGAGUAACACGUGAGCAACCUGCCCCUGACUCUGGGAUGAGCGCUGGAAACGGUGUCUAAUACUGGAUAUGUGCCACGGCCGCAUGGUCUGUGGUUGGAAAGAUUUUUCGGUUGGGGAUGGGCUCGCGGCCUAUCAGCUUGUUGGUGAGGUAAUGGCUCACCAAGGGGUCGACGGGUAGCCGGCCUGAGAGGGUGGCCGGCCACACUGGGACUGAGACACGGCCCAGACUCCUACGGGAGGCAGCAGUAGGGAAUAUUGCACAAUGGGCGGAAGCCUGAUGCAGCAACGCCGCGUGAGGGAUGACGGCCUUCGGGUUGUAAACCUCUUUUAGCAGGGAAGAAGCGAAAGUGACGGUACCUGCAGAAAAAGCACCGGCUAACUACGUGCCAGCAGCCGCCGUAAAAC